rnacentral:rRNA from 1 species
CUACGUGCCAGCAGCCGCGGUAAUACGGAGGGUGCGAGCGUUAAUCGGAAUAACUGGGCGUAAAGGGCACGCAGGCGGUGACUUAAGUGAGGUGUGAAAGCCCCGGGCUUAACCUGGGAAUUGCAUUUCAUACUGGGUCGCUAGAGUACUUUAGGGAGGGGUAGAAUUCCACGUGUAGCGGUGAAAUGCGUAGAGAUGUGGAGGAAUACCGAAGGCGAAGGCAGCCCCUUGGGAAUGUACUGACGCUCAUGUGCGAAAGCGUGGGGAGCAAACAGGAUUAGAUACCCUGGUAGUCCACGCUGUAAACGAUGUCGAUUUGGGGGUUGAGCUUUGAGCUUGGCGCCCGUAGCUAACGUGAUAAAUCGACCGCCUGGGGAGUACGGCCGCAAGGUUAAAACUCAAAUGAAUUGACGGGGGCCCGCACAAGCGGUGGAGCAUGUGGUUUAAUUCGAUGCAACGCGAAGAACCUUACCUACUCU